AGAGUUUGAUUCUGGCUCAGAACGAACGCUGGCGGCGUGUUUAAGACAUGCAAGUCGCACGGGAUUGAUUGAGUAGUAAUAUGAGAUCAGUCUAGUGGCGCACGGGUGAGUAACAUGUGAAUUACAUGCCCUAUAGUGGGGAAUAGCCCAGGGAAACUUGGAUUAAUACCCCAUAGUCUCGCAAGAGUAAAGGUGGCCAGCAGCGAUGUUGGCUGUCGCUAUAGGAUUGGUUCGCACCCUAUCAGCUUGUUGGCGGGGUAACGGCCCACCAAGGCUACGACGGGUACCUGGUCUGAGAGGACGAUCAGGCACACUGGAACUGAGACACGGUCCAGACACCUACGGGUGGCAGCAGUCGAGAAUAAUUCACAAUGGGGGCAACCCUGAUGGUGCAACGCCGCGUGGAGGAUGACGGUCUUCGGAUUGUAAACUCCUGUCAUCCGGGAGUAAGACCUGGUCGUUAAUAGCGAACAGGGUUGAUAGUACCGGAAGAGGAAGGGACGGCUAACUUCGUGCCAGCAGCCGCGGUAAUACGAAGGUCCCGAGCGUUGUUCGGAAUCACUGGGCGUAAAGGGAGCGUAGGCGGCGCGGUAAGUCAGAUGUGAAAUCCCGGGGCUCAACCCCGGAACUGCAUCCGAUACUGCCAUGCUAGAGGAUUGGAGAGGUAGCUGGAAUUCUUGGUGUAGCAGUGAAAUGCGUAGAGAUCAAGAGGAACACUCGUGGCGAAAGCGAGCUACUGGACAAUAUCUGACGCUGAGGCUCGAAGGCCAGGGUAGCGAAAGGGAUUAGAUACCCCUGUAGUCCUGGCAGUAAACGGUGCACGCUUGGUGUGAGGGGAAUCGACCCCCCUUGUGCCGGAGCUAACGCGUUAAGCGUGCCGCCUGGGAAGUACGGUCGCAAGACUAAAACUCAAAGAAAUUGACGGGGACCCGCACAAGCGGUGGAGUAUGUGGCUUAAUUCGAUGCAACGCGAAGAACCUUACCAAGGCUUGACAUGGAUUUCUAAGCGCGUGAAAGCGCGUGACCCUUCGGGGGACUUCCACAGGUGCUGCAUGGCCGUCGUCAGCUCGUGUCGUGAGAUGUUGGGUUAAGUCCCGCAACGAGCGCAACCCU
rnacentral:rRNA from 1 species